UACGUAGGGGGCGAGCGUUGUCCGGAUUCAUUGGGCGUAAAGAGCUCGUAGGCGGCUUGGUUAGUUGGGUGUGAAACCUCCAGACUUAACCUGGAGACGCCACUCAAUACUGCCAUGGCUAGAGUCCGGUAGGGGACCACGGAAUUCCUGGUGUAGCGGUGAAAUGCGCAGAUAUCAGGAGGAACACCGGUGGCGAAGGCGGUGGUCUGGGCCGGCACUGACGCUGAGGAGCGAAAGCGUGGGGAGCGAACAGG
rnacentral:rRNA from 1 species